CUGGACGAGCCAGAACCGGGAUGAAAUGUUUACCAUGCAUAAUUUGCUACUGGAAGUUUUACGCACGUUCGAAAAUUUCGAUUUUGUGUUUUAUUUUUUCAAUGCAUAACUUUACGCAAAGAUUUUAAAUCUAAAUCGUUAUUUAAAAAAUUUAAUUCGUGUUUACGCCUUUACGCAUGUUAUCUGGAGCACUGUACCCCAUACACCAUCAGUUACUAACUGUGUAACGGUUAUAUCUCAUCCAACAACUCGAUCACUUGGGGUGUAUGGAAAUUACUCGGGGUGUAUAUAAAUUACUAGGGGUGUAUGGAAAUUACACAAUGGGCAAGUGACCGCUCUAAGCCAAUCGGAUUAGGUCAUUUUUGUAGGAGGGUCAGAAUGAAGAACACCACCGCGAUUCUGUUGCUUGCCGCUGCCUUCAUAGGCUUGGCCAUCGCCCAGUACCCCUACCCGUACUACCCGUACGCGCCUCAGAGUGGUGGUUUUGGAAGCGGAGGACUUUUGGGACUACUUGGACUACUUUUCCUGUUGUCUUUGCUGUUUGGGCAAAACAGUAGCACUUCUGGCGGAUCUGUACAAAUAGUAAAUGGGACCUCGCUCGGUUAAACAUUGAAAGAAUGAUGAUGAUGAUGAUGAUGACAUACGGACCAUGACAACAACAACACUACCUACAACAUUAGCUUCGACGGAGGAAUAUUCACAGGGUUUAUGUACAGCGCAGCAGUUCAUCGUUUCACUUGUUUCACUUUUUGUUUGUGUUUCUGUUUUAUUUUUGUGAAUAAAUCUUUUGCAGGAUGUAUUUUUAAGUAAAA